ACCUGACCACUGUUGCUUCGGCGAGCCCGUCUGUAAUGGACCGCCGGGGGGUACCUUGAUCGGCCCUCUGGUCCGCGCUCGUCGAUAGCCAAACUUUUAAAAUCUUAACCAAACGUGUCUCAAUCUAAGUAUUAUUUGUUAAAUAAAAGCAAAACUUUCAACAACGGAUCUCUUGGUUCUGGCAUCGAUGAAGAACGCAGCGAAAUGCGAUAAGUAAUGCGAAUUGCAGAAUUUCAGUGAGUCAUCGAAUCUUUGAACGCACAUUGCGCCCUUUGGUAUUCCGAAGGGCAUGCCUGUUCGAGCGUCAUUAUCACCCCUCAAGCCCCCGGCUUGGUGUUGGACGGUUUGGUGGAGGCCCCCUCGCGGGGCCACCGCCCCUCCCAAAGACAAUGACGGCGGCCUCGUUGGACCCCCGGUACACUGAGUUCUUCACGGGACACGUAUCGGACACAUGGGUUUACGGGACACGGUCUGCCUCCCCUCAGGGAGAAUCUUUCUAAGGUUGACCCCGGAUCAGGUAGGGAUACCCGCUGAACUUAAGCAUAUCAAUAAGCGGAG
rnacentral:rRNA from 1 species